rnacentral:rRNA from 1 species
UAGCUAAUCCUGGUCGGACAUCAGGAGGUUAGUGCAAUGGCAUAAGCUAGCUUGACUGCGAGCGUGACGGCGCGAGCAGGUGCGAAAGCAGGUCAUAGUGAUCCGGUGGUUCUGAAUGGAAGGGCCAUCGCUCAACGGAUAAAAGGUACUCCGGGGAUAACAGGCUGAUACCGCCCAAGAGUUCAUAUCGACGGCGGUGUUUGGCACCUCGAUGUCGGCUCAUCACAUCCUGGGGCUGAAGUAGGUCCCAAGGGUAUGGCUGUUCGCCAUUUAAAGUGGUACGCGAGCUGGGUUUAGAACGUCGUGAGACAGUUCGGUCCCUAUCUGCCGUGGGCGCUGGAGAAUUGAGGGGGGCUGCUCCUAGUACGAGAGGACCGGAGUGGACGCAUCACUGGUGUUCGGGUUGUCAUGCCAAUGG